ACUCAAACAAUUAUACUAACCUUCGACCGUAUUAUUAGUUCGUGGAAUAUAAUACUUUGAUAAUGCAUACAAUUUCCAAACAUUUAAAAAAAAUAAAGGAGCUCUUCUUGCUCUGCAGCAGGGUCUUCCGAUCCACGUGUCUUCAAAAUAGUUGAGUAAAUCUAAUAGAUUCUCUUCAUUUUCUCUAUAAAACUCGGAAUCCAACAGAGAUUCAAAUGCUGAAAUUAAAUUAUUUUCGGGUUCAAAAGUUAAGGCUGCUAGUUUUCUUUAUUCGAGUGCAAAAUUUGAACCUUUUGUAUACAUAACUUGUAGCUCAUUUCACUGUACCUGCCGCCAAAUAUUUCGGGUUAAAUGGAAAACACCCUUUAAUAUUA